UACGAAGGGGGCUAGCGUUGCUCGGAAUCACUGGGCGUAAAGCGCACGUAGGCGGAUCUUUAAGUCAGAGGUGAAAUCCCAGGGCUCAACCUUGGAACUGCCUUUGAAACUCCUGGUCUUGAGGUCGAGAGAGGUGAGUGGAAUUCCGAGUGUAGAGGUGAAAUUCGUAGAUAUUCGGAGGAACACCAGUGGCGAAGGCGGCUCACUGGCUCGAUACUGACGCUGAGGUGCGAAAGCGUGGGGAGCAAACAGG
rnacentral:rRNA from 1 species